rnacentral:rRNA from 1 species
CCUACGGGGGGCGGCAGUCGAGAAUCUUCCCCAAUGGCCGAAAGGCUGAGGGAGCGACGCCGCGUGCAGGAUGAAGGGCUUCGGCUCGUAAACUGCUUUUUUCAGGGACGAAUGUUGACGGUACCUGAAGAAUAAGAGGUUGCUAACUCUGUGCCAGCAGCCCCGGUC